UGGGGAAUAUUGCACAAUGGGCGCAAGCCUGAUGCAGCCAUGCCGCGUGUAUGAAGAAGGCCUUCGGGUUGUAAAGUACUUUCAGCGAGGAGGAAGGCAGUCGUGUUAAUAGCACGAUUGAUUGACGUUACUCGCAGAAGAAGCACCGGCUAACUCCGUGCCAGCAGCCGCGGUAAUACGGAGGGUGCAAGCGUUAAUCGGAAUUACUGGGCGUAAAGCGCACGCAGGCGGUCUGUCAAGUCGGAUGUGAAAUCCCCGGGCUCAACCCGGGAACUGCAUUCGAAACUGGCAGGCUAGAGUCUUGUAGAGGGGGGUAGAAUUCCAGGUGUAGCGGUGAAAUGCGUAGAGAUCUGGAGGAAUACCGGUGGCGAAGGCGGCCCCCUGGACAAAGACUGACGCUCAGGUGCGAAAGCGUGGGGAGCAAACA
rnacentral:rRNA from 1 species